rnacentral:rRNA from 1 species
AACGCGAAGAACCUUACCUGGUCUUGACAUCCACAGAACUUUCCAGAGAUGGAUUGGUGCCUUCGGGAACUGUGAGACAGGUGCUGCAUGGCUGUCGUCAGCUCGUGUUGUGAAAUGUUGGGUUAAGUCCCGCAACGAGCGCAACCCUUAUCCUUUGUUGCCAGCGGUUAGGCCGGGAACUCAAAGGAGACUGCCAGUGAUAAACUGGAGGAAGGUGGGGAUGACGUCAAGUCAUCAUGGCCCUUACGACCAGGGCUACACACGUGCUACAAUGGCAUAUACAAAGAGAAGCGACCUCGCGAGAGCAAGCGGACCUCAUAAAGUAUGUCGUAGUCCGGAUUGGAGUCUGCAACUCGACUCCAUGAAGUCGGAAUCGCUAGUAAUCGUAGAUCAGAAUGCUACGGUGAAAUACGUUCCC